rnacentral:rRNA from 1 species
UACGUAGGUGGCUAGCGUUACUCGGAAUCACUAGGCGUAAAGCGCAGGUAGGCGGUUCGGUAAGUCUUUUGUGAAAGCUCCCGGCUUAACUGGGAGAGGCCAAGGGAAACUACCGGGCUGGAGUAUGGCAGAGGUAGCUGGAAUUCCCGGUGUAGCGGUGAAAUGCGUAGAGAUCGGGAGGAAUACCUAUGGCGAAAGCAGGCUACUGGGCCAUUACUGACGCUGAGCUGCGAAAGCUAGGGGAG